GAAACCAGGAUUAGAUACCCUAUUAUUCUUUGAUUAAAUUUAAAAAAUAUUGGUAGUAUAUUAAGGUUUAAACCUAAGAGAUUUGGCGGUACUCGUUACUUAUUAGAGAAAUUUGCUAUAAGAGAUCGAUAAUCCCCGAAGAAUCUUACUUUUAUAAGUAUCUCAGUUUGUAUACCGUCAUAGAUGUGAUUUCUAAAGAGUAUUAAUUAUUUAUUAGACUUAGUUAAGUGAGACAUUAGAUCAAGGUGCAGCUAAUAUAAAAGGUUAAAGUGAAUUGCAUUACAAUUUUGUCAAAUUAUGGAAGAAAAAUUGAAACAUGUUUCUGAAAGUGGAUUUAAUAGUAAUGAUAUUUUAAUAAGUUAUUUUGAUUUUAGUUCUGGAGUAUGUACAUAUCGCCCGUCGCA
rnacentral:rRNA from 1 species